CAGCUGCCUUGGGCUGGGACGGGAGGCCGAUGGGGUGGGUGCGACGGGAGCCCCAAGAACCCCGGGAGGCCCGCAGGCCAGCCUGACUCAGGCUCUUGUCGUCGGGGCCAAGCCUGACGGCAACUGCAUGCUGCGCCAGGAGCCUGCCCUCACCCACUGAGCUCCUCUCGGUGCCGGAGACCUUUCUACCAACCGACGCCCUUCACCUGACCUUCUGGCUCGGUCCUUCCAGUACCAGAUUAAAUUCAACAUUCCAGGAGGUGUGAGCUGCUGUCCGAGUCCAGUGAGUGAUGGAAUAAUCAGUAAUCUAAUGAUGGACGUGAAGACUUUCACCAGGAGUCAGUCUCGUGCCAGGUGCCCGGGGUCGGGGCCCUGCCUGCACAGAGCUCUCGGCCUUGCCCACCUUCUAGCGAGGACCCACGCGAGCCGGCCGUCACCAUGAAGCACCAUAAAGGC
rnacentral:lncRNA from 12 species